GCAAAAUUGAGUGGACAGUACUAAGAGUUCCCAUACGCCCUCUGUCCCCAUACUAUCCCACAGCCACAUACUAUCCUAAUUUUAAUAAUAUAUUUUAUUUAACCCAAUAUAUAAAAUUAUUAUUAUUUCAACAUUAAUCAAUAUAAAAAUCAUUAAUGAGGUAUUUUACCUUUUUUUCCGCUGUAUACUGCUUUAGUUUUUACAGUUUAAAAUGUGGCCCUAGCCAUGUUUCAAGUGCUCAACAGCCACAUGUGGCUAGUGGCCACCUAUUAGUGCAGAAGAGAAUCAGAUGUUCCAAGGAACAUAGUUUAGGAAAUGCUGGUCUAGCCACACCUGCCCAUCACACAGAUGAAGCUGUGGAGCGAGGAACGUUGGAAGUGACUCUCCUGACAUAGAGACCCAAGUAGCGUCAGAGGUGAGAUCAACACACAAGAGUAGUUCUUGCCACUACACUGUGACUCAAACAUAAAUCUUCUCCUUUGUAGGAGGGAGAAUUCCACCUUCCUUCCUGUGCCCUGCAGGAGAACUCUCUUCUGUUCCUUUGACUUGAAUUAGAAUGGGGCUUAGCCUAGGGCCAGGAGUCCUGAGCCUGCAGUGACUAUCCCCAGCCUUUCAUUCUGCUAUAGUUCUCGAAUCUCUGUGCUGUCUUAAGAUUUGCACAGUAUCCAUUCUUAGUCAGCUUAGGUGUAUCUUUCAGGCCAUAGUGUACUGGGGUCCCUAACCGCAGGGUCAUUGGUCACUGGGGUUCUGGAAUGCAGAGGACAAGAGGAGUCUUCUGUUCAUCACCCAUUCAACAAAUACUCAUUGACCACCCAACAACGUGAUGUGUUCCAGGCCCUGGGGACAUAUCAAUGAACAAGCCAAGUCCUUGACCUCUGGAAUUUAGAUUCCAGUGGUGGGAGACAGACAAAACACAAAUAUGUAAAUAGAUGGCACAUCAGGUAGGAAUAAGCUUUACUGAGAGAAGAGAAAAUAAGGGUAAACAGGAGUAAGGAAUGGAGCAAACAUCCGAGAAAACUGCUUAUAAUAUUUUGGUCAAUAAGAUAGGAAAAUAUUGAGGAAGAGAUACAGAUGUUGAAGAAAGACAAGAUGCUGGAGGAAGACAAGACUGGUUGACAGACAAAAACAUCUUGAAGACACAAUCCGGUAUACUGGGACCAUAUCCAAGGACUGGCCCAUUUUGAGUACCUUGGAGGAAUUUCUAUGAAUUCCGAGGCCAAGAGAAAGUAAUUGAAGGAGGAAACAUACAACGAAAAAAUAUUCUUUAGGAUAAGAAUAAGCUAAAGAGAAAGGAAUGCUCUUUUCAUUUAACGGCCACAGCAUGAGUCCUCAUUCAGAGAAAGACAAGAACUGGAGCAGAGCACAGCAUGGAAGAAAAGCAGGACGAGGGUCUGCAAUUCAUCUCUUACGUCUGACGUGUUGUGGUGGAAAGAACAACAGUGAUGUAGUGAUUUUACACCUAUUCCGAUUCUUAUAUUUUAGAUCUUGAACACUUGUAUAAAUUUUAAGCAAAGCCAAAAAAUAUGCAAAAGGAAAAGAGCACAUCUUUAUAUUUUUGGAGAAAUAAUAGAGGUGCCAAAACAUAUGCUCUCAAUUAGAUUUUAAUAAAUCCAAUUACACUUUAAUCAAAUCCAUUUGUGUUUUAAAGACCUGAAAUCUGUAAAACCAUUGAAUAGGGUAUCCUACUAUUUAUAACGUAAUGAUUUAUACUUUUAAUUGACUUCAGAACAUGGGGUUAUUUUAUUUGGUCUCUGAAGAGUUUCUCCACCCUGGGUCCAGAAGAAAAGCACAACUAGAAACCACAGCUGAUUACAUAACAGAAAAUUCCAGCGAGGUACAAAUCUGAUCCUCACUUUUAGUCUGGUUUUCUUUGUUUAUUUGUUUUUAAAUGAAAGCACAUAUAAUUUUUGAAUUAUGAUUAGCUUUUUUGUUUUUCCCUUUUGGAAAGCUAUCAGUAACAGUUUUUUCAGGACCGAAGCAUAAAGGAAUGUGGGGAAAGGAUUGACCUUUUUCUCAUUGUCUGGAACCUUCAAGAAUGCAAAACUGAGAUAUUAUAGUCUCAGUUAAGCUAUUCAUUGUUACCAGUUGGUAAAAUGUAAUACCGUUUAUGUUGAAUUUCUGCAACCAUGGAAAGUACUGACAAGAAUUGCUUUUACAUAAAAAAAAAUAAAGUCUAGAUCAGAAAUGAAACAUAGAUUAGAAGAACACUAUACAUCAUUCUUCCAGACCUGCUCUGUCCAAUACUGUGGCCACUCACCAUAGGUGGCUAUUGAGUGCUUGAAAUGCAGCGUCAGGUAAGAAAAACAUCCUCUAACCUCUUAGGUUCAGUACCUG
rnacentral:lncRNA from 1 species